rnacentral:rRNA from 1 species
CGCUGAAGAGAGGAGCUUGCUCUUCUUGGAUGAGUUGCGAACGGGUGAGUAACGCGUAGGUAACCUGCCUUGUAGCGGGGGAUAACUAUUGGAAACGAUAGCUAAUACCGCAUAACAAUGGAUGACACAUGUCAUUUAUUUGAAAGGGGCAAUUGCUCCACUACAAGAUGGACCUGCGUUGUAUUAGCUAGUAGGUGAGGUAACGGCUCACCUAGGCGACGAUACAUAGCCGACCUGAGAGGGUGAUCGGCCACACUGGGACUGAGACACGGCCCAGACUCCUACGGGAGGCAGCAGUAGGGAAUCUUCGGCAAUGGGGGCAACCCUGACCGAGCAACGCCGCGUGAGUGAAGAAGGUUUUCGGAUCGUAAAGCUCUGUUGUAAGUCAAGAACGAGUGUGAGAGUGGAAAGUUCACACUGUGACGGUAGCUUACCAGAAAGGGACGGCUAACUACGUGCCAGCAGCCGCGGUAAUACGUAGGUCCCGAGCGUUGUCCGGAUUUAUUGGGCGUAAAGCGAGCGCAGGCGGUUUGAUAAGUCUGAAGUUAAAGGCUGUGGCUCAACCAUAGUUCGCUUUGGAAACUGUCAAACUUGAGUGCAGAAGGGGAGAGUGGAAUUCCAUGUGUAGCGGUGAAAUGCGUAGAUAUAUGGAGGAACACCGGUGGCGAAAGCGGCUCUCUGGUCUGUAACUGACGCUGAGGCUCGAAAGCGUGGGGAGCGAACAGGAUUAGAUACCCUGGUAGUCCACGCCGUAAACGAUGAGUGCUAGGUGUUGGAUCCUUUCCGGGAUUCAGUGCCGCAGCUAACGCAUUAAGCACUCCGCCUGGGGAGUACGACCGCAAGGUUGAAACUCAAAGGAAUUGACGGGGGCCCGCACAAGCGGUGGAGCAUGUGGUUUAAUUCGAAGCAACGCGAAGAACCUUACCAGGUCUUGACAUCCCGAUGCUAUUUCUAGAGAUAGAAAGUUACUUCGGUACAUCGGUGACAGGUGGUGCAUGGUUGUCGUCAGCUCGUGUCGUGAGAUGUUGGGUUAAGUCCCGCAACGAGCGCAACCCCUAUUGUUAGUUGCCAUCAUUCAGUUGGGCACUCUAGCGAGACUGCCGGUAAUAAACCGGAGGAAGGUGGGGAUGACGUCAAAUCAUCAUGCCCCUUAUGACCUGGGCUACACACGUGCUACAAUGGUUGGUACAACGAGUUGCGAGUCGGUGACGGCAAGCUAAUCUCUUAAAGCCAAUCUCAGUUCGGAUUGUAGGCUGCAACUCGCCUACAUGAAGUCGGAAUCGCUAGUAAUCGCGGAUCAGCACGCCGCGGUGAAUACGUUCCCGGGCCUUGUACACACCGCCCGUCACACCACGAGAGUUUGUAACACCCGAAGUCGGUGAGGUAACC